UCACCAAAGGACAACACGUCGGGGAACUUCUUCUCUAUCGUCUCAGCCAGAAAGUGGAGAAGGGUUGUCUUCUGGUCAUGCGAUUUUGUUCCUGAAAGCUGAACGGUGCAACACACGGCAUUCGCGCCGCGCACAUUUGGCAGCUGCGUCAUACGGAACAUCGAUACAGCGUUGUAAAAGAGCACGAGAAGGGAAGCCUGGACUAGCUGCAACCCAGCGCCGAGGUCCCCAUGGAGACUGUCGCGGUAACAGUACAUUCAGCCCAAGUUGACGAAGAGGGGUUUCCGAAAGUCGUCGCCUUUGACUUAUAAACCUGCUAUACGACAUUCUACGAAGACUUCUUCGACGGUUCCAGGUUCACUGUAUACAACAAUAACAACGACGAGCA